CAAGUCGAGCGAAGCACUUUACUUUGAUUCUUUCGGGAUGAAAAGUUUUGUGACUGAGCGGCGGACGGGUGAGUAACGCGUGGGUAACCUGCUUCAUACAGGGGGAUAACAGUUAGAAAUGACUGCUAAUACCGCAUAAGACCACAGUAUCGCAUGAUACAGAGGUAAAAACUCCGGUGGUAUGAGAUGGACCCGCGUCUGAUUAGCUAGUUGGUAAGGUAACGGCUUACCAAGGCAACGAUCAGUAGCCGACCUGAGAGGGUGACCGGCCACAUUGGGACUGAGACACGGCCCAAACUCCUACGGGAGGCAGCAGUGGGGAAUAUUGCACAAUGGGGGAAACCCUGAUGCAGCGACGCCGCGUGAGCGAAGAAGUAUUUCGGUAUGUAAAGCUCUAUCAGCAGGGAAGAAACUGACGGUACCUGACUAAGAAGCACCGGCUAAAUACGUGCCAGCAGCCGCGGUAAUACGUAUGGUGCAAGCGUUAUCCGGAUUUACUGGGUGUAAAGGGAGCGUAGACGGAGUGGCAAGUCUGGAGUGAAAACCCAGGGCUCAACCCUGGGACUGCUUUGGAAACUGUCAAUCUAGAGUGCUGGAGAGGUAAGUGGAAUUCCUAGUGUAGCGGUGAAAUGCGUAGAUAUUAGGAGGAACACCAGUGGCGAAGGCGGCUUACUGGACAGUGACUGACGUUGAGGCUCGAAAGCGUGGGGAGCAAACAGG
rnacentral:rRNA from 1 species